UACGUAGGGUGCGAGCGUUAAUCGGAAUUACUGGGCGUAAAGCGUGCGCAGGCGGUUCUGUAAGACCGAUGUGAAAUCCCCGGGCUCAACCUGGGAACUGCAUCUGUGACUGCAUCGCUGGAGUGCGGCAGAGGGGGAUGGAAUUCCGCGUGUAGCGGUGAAAUGCGUAGAUAUCCGGAGGAACACCAGUGGCGAAGGCGGCUUCCUGGACCGACACUGACGCUGAGGCGCGAAAGCUAGGGGAGCAAACGGG
rnacentral:rRNA from 1 species